AUGGUGAUCAAUUUCAUUUGCUGGCCAAGUACCAAACCGGCAUGGAUCUUGGCGCUGCUGCUCAACCUGGUCACGAUGAUUCAAGUCCACGGCCAGCCUCCUUCUUCUGGGUUCAUAAGCAUCGACUGUGGAUUGAGAAACAGCAGUUCCUACAACGACAGCGCCACUGGGCUACGGUUCGAUCCUGACCGUGGAUUUGUCGAGGGUGGCAUGAGUAAACAGAUUUCUCAAGAGUUUAUGGAUGCUGCCGAAAAUGAGCAACAAAAAACCCUGAGGAGCUUUCCUGAUGGCUCAAGGAAUUGCUAUACACUGCCAUCCACCAUCGGUAAGAAGUAUCUAUUGAGAGCCACGUUUACUUAUGGCAACUAUGAUGGGUUGAACAAGACUCUGGACGGGUCAUUGUUUCUGUUUGGGCUCCAUAUCGGUGUUAAUUCCUGGGACAUGGUAAACUUGACAAAUUGGGACCACACGAGUAUACUAUGGAACGAGGUGCUCACCGUUGCUCCGAGCAACUCCGUGUCCGUCUGCUUGGUAAACUUCGGUUCAGGGAUUCCCUUCAUAUCCUCAUUGGAGCUAAGGCCACUUGAAAAUACGAUGUACCCUUUUGUCAAUACUUCUGUUUCAAUUGGGCUUUUGGAUCGAACCAGAUAUGGCAACGUCACUGACUAUAUUACAAGGUAUCCAGCGGACAAUUAUGACCGUUUCUGGCAAAGCAACUCCAAUUCCUACCCCGCGGUGAACCUGAACACUACCAAUAAAGUGGAGAGCCUCCCUGGCAACAACUUCAAUAUACCGUCGGUCAUCAUGCAGAAUGCCGUGACCGUAGACAUGAACUUCUCCAGGUCCAGGAUAAUGAUCUCCCUGGAAGCAACUUCUAAUCUAGACACCAAGAGCCUGCAGCUUCUCCCAAUCUUUCACUUUGCCGAGAUCAAUGGGAGCAACCCAAACAGGAGGUUCGACAUCUACAGCGAUGGCGAAUUGCUGUUCUCAGACUUCUCCCCUUCACGAUUCCAGGUGGACAGCAUGCACCAGAACGGUCGUUUCUUGCGCAACCAUAAUGCAUCCUUCCUCCUGAACAAGACGGGCAGCUCGACACUCAAGCCGUUGAUCAACGCGUUCGAGGCCUACUUCCUCGUUCGGAUGGAUAACCUCACUACUGACUCGGAAGAUGUCCAUUACAUGAAAGAAGUCAAGAACCACUACAAUUUGACACGAAUAAAUUGGAAUGGAGAUCCGUGCUCCCCAAGAGAAUAUUCCUGGGAAGGUUUGACUUGUGACUACUCAAAGAGCAACCAGAAUCCAAGGAUUGUUUCAGUAAAUCUCUCUGCGAAUGGACUGAAAGCUGGAUUAGCCGUAUCAUUCAUGAACAUGGUAUCACUAGAAAAUCUGGAUUUAUCACACAACAAUUUGACGGGAGCUAUUCCAGACUAUCAACUAAAGUCACUCAAAAUUCUGAACUUGUCAAACAACCAGCUCGUUGGGCCAAUCCCCGAUUCUAUUCUUCGAAGAUUUCAGGCUGGUUUGCUUGAUUUAAGAUUGGAAGGCAACCCCAUAUGCUCAAAAGUCAAAGAUACGUACUGCUCAAAUAAGAAGAAGAAUACCAUACAAACAAUGCUUAUCACAGUGACGGUUCCUGUGGUACUUGUAUCCCUCCUAGUAUUGAUGUGCAUAACCUGGAUGUUAUGCUGGAAAGGGAAGUCAGACCGUGAGGAUUAUGCCAUGUAUGAAGAGGAAACUUCCCUACAUGUUGACAUCAAACGAUUCACGUACGUAGAGCUCAAGCUCAUAACAAAUGACUUCCAAUCAAUCAUUGGAAAAGGAGGUUUUGGUAUUGUUUAUCAUGGCAAACUGGAAAAUGGUGAUGAAGUAGCCGUUAAGGUGCUGAUGGAAACAUCAAUAGCGGAGUCAACAGACUUCCUCCCCGAGGUACAAACCUUGUCAAAAGUUCAUCACAAGAAUCUUGUGACUUUGAAAGGAUAUUGCCAAAACAAGAAGUGCCUCGCUCUCAUUUAUGACUUCAUGUCGAGAGGGAAUCUUCAACAACUCAUAAGAGGAGGAGAUGACUAUAGUUUGAAUUGGGAACAACGACUUCAUAUUGCACUUGAUGCUGCACAAGGGCUGGAGUAUCUACACGAGUCAUGCACCCCAUCAAUAGUUCACAGAGAUGUAAAGACCCCCAACAUCCUUCUAGACAAGAAUCUGGUGGGGAUAAUAUCUGAUUUUGGGCUUUCCCGGGCUUUUAAUGAUGCUCACACACACAUAUCUACUGUUGCUGCUGGCACUCUUGGCUACCUCGACCCUGAGUACCAUGCAACUUUCCAACUCACAGUCAAGACAGAUGUUUACAGUUUCGGCAUCGUGCUGUUGGAGAUCAUCACUGGCCAGCCCCCAGUAUUGAUGGAGCCACAAACCUUUCAUCUACCAAACUGGGUACGCCAUAAGAUUGCCAUGGGCAAUAUUCAUGACAUCGUGGAUAAGAGGUUGUUGGAUCAGUACGAUGCCAGUUCACUCCGGAGUGUGGUAGACCUCGCCAUGAACUGCGUCGAAAACGCGGCCAUCCACAGGCCGACCAUGACCGAGGUUGUUUCAAGGCUCAAAGAGUUGUUGCCAGUAGUUUCAAGCGAAAAGCUGUCUGUUUCUGCUUCAACUAGUAGCAUGAACCCCAUGGAUGCUGAAACUCGAAGGCAAUUUCAGUUGACGAUUUCUGGAGUAAGCAACGAGGAGAACUCCUUCCGGUCUGGUUAUACUGGUGGGAUGUCAGAAUUAAUCCCUUUGUCUGGACGGUGA
rnacentral:rRNA from 1 species